CUGGCUCAGGAUGAACGCUAGCGGCAGGCUUAACACAUGCAAGUCGAGGGGCAGCGGGAUGUAGCAAUACAUGCCGGCGACCGGCGGAUGGGUGCGUAACGCGUAUGCAACCUACCUUAUACAGGGGAAUAACCUUUCGAAAGGGAGACUAACACCCCAUAGUAUUGAUUUAAGGCAUCUUAGAUUAAUUAAAUAUUUAUAGGUAUAAGAUGGGCAUGCGUAUGAUUAGCUAGUUGGUAAGGUAACGGCUUACCAAGGCGACGAUCAUUAGGGGUUCUGAGAGGAAGGUCCCCCACACUGGUACUGAGACACGGACCAGACUCCUACGGGAGGCAGCAGUGAGGAAUAUUGGUCAAUGGGCGCAAGCCUGAACCAGCCAUGCCGCGUGCAGGAAAGACGGCCUUAUGGGUUGUAAACUGCUUUACAUAAGACUAACCGUAUAUUUGCGAAUAUACCUGAAUGUAUUAUGAGAAUAAGGAUCGGCUAACUCCGUGCCAGCCGCUGC
rnacentral:rRNA from 1 species